rnacentral:rRNA from 1 species
AUUGAACGCUGGCGGCAGGCCUAACACAUGCAAGUCGAACGAGUGGCGGACGGGUGAGUAAUGUCUGGGACACUGCCCGAUGGAGGGGGAUAACUACUGGAAACGGUAACUAAUACCGCAUACCAUCAGAUGUGCCCAGAUGGGAUUAGCGUGUCGGUGGGGUAACGGCUCACCAAGGAGCCGAUACCUAGCUGGUCUGAGAGGAUGACCAGCCACACUGGAACUGAGACACGGGCCAGACUCCUACGGGAGGCAGCAGUGGGGAAUAUUGCAAAAUGGGCGCAAGCCUGAUGCAGCCAUGCCGCGUGUAUGAAGAAGGCCUUCGGGUUGUAAAGUACUUUCAGCGGGGAGGCGUUACCCGCAGAAGAAGCACCGGCUAACUCCGUGCCAGCAGCCGCGGUAAUAC